UGUGAGGGACUCAAUGUAAGCUAGGCGCGCUCGUGGACUAGGUGGGACCCAUUUAUUUUUUUGCGUCAGAUGGAGUGACGCUGUAUAGGGUUUUAGCGUCAGAUAUUACGACGUUAAAUAUGGAUAUCUAUCGCGUCAGACAGUGAAUCGGUAAGUAUAGAUUUAGCGUCAGUUGAUCUGUAAACAACAUUUAGCGUCAGAUCAUCCAACGAUAAAAAAAAGAUUUAGCGUCAGAUAUCUGACACUAAAAAAGUGUUGUGGUGUAGUGACUUCAAGCAAAACAUAGAGGAGUUUUACAACUCCCAGACUCCACCAAGUGAAGG
rnacentral:lncRNA from 1 species